rnacentral:rRNA from 1 species
GACGAACGCUGGCGGCGUGCUUAACACAUGCAAGUCGAACGGAAAGGCCCUGCUUUUGUGGGGUGCUCGAGUGGCGAUCGCGUGAGUAACACGUGAGUAACCUGCCCUUGACUUUGGUAUAACUUCAGGAAACUGGGGCUAAUACCGUAUCGGAGCUCCUGCUGCAUGGUGGGGGUUGGAACGUUUCGGCGGUUGGGGAUGGACUCGCGGCUUAUCAGCUUGUUGGUUGGGUAGUGGCUUACCAAGGCUUUGACGGGUAGCCGGCCUGAGAGGGUGACCGGCCACAUUGGGACUGAGAUACGGCCCAGACUCCUACGGGAGGCAGCAGUGGGGAAUAUUGCACAAUGGGCGGAAGCCUGAUGCAGCAACGCCGCGUGCGGGAUGACGGCCUUCGGGUUGUAAACCGCUUUCGCCUGUGACGAAGCGUGAGUGACGGUAAUGGGUAAAGAAGCACCGGCUAACUACGUG